CGGAGCGUAGCCUAGUGGGAUUUCAGGCACUCGCCCUGGGAGCGAGACCACGGGGGUUCGAAUCCCUCCGCUCCGA
rnacentral:tRNA from 1 species